rnacentral:rRNA from 1 species
AUUGAACGCUGGCGGCAGGCCUAACACAUGCAAGUCGAGCGGAUGAAGAGAGCUUGCUCUCUGAUUCAGCGGCGGACGGGUGAGUAAUGCCUAGGAAUCUGCCUGGUAGUGGGGGACAACGUUUCGAAAGGAACGCUAAUACCGCAUACGUCCUACGGGAGAAAGUGGGGGAUCUUCGGACCUCACGCUAUCAGAUGAGCCUAGGUACGAUUAGCUAGUUGGUGAGGUAAAGGCUAACCAAGGCGACGAUCGUUAACUGGUCUGAGAGGAUGAUCAGUCACACUGGAACUGAGACACGGUCCAGACUCCUACGGGAGGCAGCAGUGGGGAAUAUUGGACAAUGGGCGAAAGCCUGAUCCAGCCAUGCCGCGUGUGUGAAGAAGGUCUUCGGAUCGUAAAGCACUUUAAGUUGGGAGGAAGGGCAGUAAGUUAAUACCUUGCUGUUUUGACGUUACCGACAGAAUAAGCACCGGCUAACUUCGUGCCAGCCGCCGCCGUAA